rnacentral:rRNA from 1 species
GAUGAACGCUGGCGGCGUGCCUAAUACAUGCAAGUCGAGCGAACAGACGAGGAGCUUGCUCCUCUGACGUUAGCGGCGGACGGGUGAGUAACACGUGGAUAACCUACCUAUAAGACUGGGAUAACUUCGGGAAACCGGAGCUAAUACCGGAUAACAUGUUGAACCGCAUGGUUCAACAGUGAAAGACGGUCUUGCUGUCACUUAUAGAUGGAUCCGCGCCGCAUUAGCUAGUUGGUAAGGUAACGGCUUACCAAGGCAACGAGGCGUAGCCGACCUGAGAGGGGGAUCGGCAAGACUGGAAGUGAGACACGGACCAGACUCCUACGGGAGGCAGCAGUAGGGAAUCGUCCGCGAUGGGCGAAAGCCUGACGGAGCAACGCGGGGUGAGUGAAGAAGGUCUUCGGAUCGUAAAACUCUGUGAUUAGGGAAGAACAAAUGUGUAAGUAACUCUGCACGUCUUGACGGUACCUAAUCAGAAAGCCACGGCUAACUACGUG